CCAUUACUUUUGGUGUUUUAGUCAUGAAGUCCUUGCCUGUGCCUAUGUCCUGAAUGGUAUUGCCUAGGUUUUCUUCUAGGGUUUUUAUGGUUUUAGGUCUAACAUUUAAGUCUUCAAUCCAUCUUGAAUUAAUUUUUAUAUAAGGUGUAAGGAAGGGAUCCAGUUUCAGCUUUCUACUUAUGGCCAGCCAGUUUUCCCAGCACCAUUUAUUAAACAGGGAAUCCUUUCCCUAUUUCUUGUUUUUGUCAGGUUUGUCAAAGAUCAGAUGGUUGUAGAUGUGUGGUGUUAUUUCUGAGGCCUCUGUUCUGUUCCACUGGUCUAUAUCUCUGUUUUGGUACCAGUACCAUGCUGUUUUGGUUACAGUAGCCUUGUAGUAUAGUUUGAAGUCAGGUAGCAUGAUGCCUCCAGCGUUGUUCUUUUUGCUUAGGAUUGUCUUGCCUAUAUGGGCUCUUUUUUGGUUCCAUAUGAACUUUAAAGUAGUUUUUUCCAGUUCUGUGAAGAAAGUCAUUGGUAGCUUGAUGGGGAUGGCAUUGAAUCUAUAAAUUACCUUGGGCAGUAUGGCCAUUUUCAUGAGGGACCCAGCCUCCGACAGUCCAUUCUGGGUGUUGGCAGAGAAUCCUCAGCUAUCCUGUUGCAAAACUCUCCUUCCUUUUCUAUCCUCGGUCUCAUACUCUUUCUCUGUGUGAAAUGUGCAGGGAUUUGUAGAGCCUAGAAAAGUAAUCCUGUUAGGCAAGAUCAGGAAAAUGUCGUUGCAAUCUUCUAGGAACAGAGUUCUUCCCUUUCCUCUGUGGUGAGGUUUCUUGCUACCACACCGCUGGUGAGCACACAAUAUUUCUAAGCCAACACCACCACCUAGUGGAAAUAGACAUCCUCUACAUGAGGCACAUUUUUUUUUCACAGCAAUACCGCAGCUUCCUUUUGCACCAUUAGAAAUCAGACUCGGCCGGGCGUGGUGGUUCAUGCCUGUAAUCCAGCACUUUGGGAGGCUGAGGCG
rnacentral:lncRNA from 1 species